rnacentral:rRNA from 1 species
GACGAACGCUGGCGGCGUGCCUAAUACAUGCAAGUAGAACGCUGAAGAGAGGAGCUUGCUCUUCUUGGAUGAGUUGCGAACGGGUGAGUAACGCGUAGGUAACCUGCCUUGUAGCGGGGGAUAACUAUUGGAAACGAUAGCUAAUACCGCAUAACAAUGGAUGACACAUGUCAUUUAUUUGAAAGGGGCAAUUGCUCCACUACAAGAUGGACCUGCGUUGUAUUAGCUAGUAGGUGAGGUAAUGGCUCACCUAGGCGACGAUACAUAGCCGACCUGAGAGGGUGAUCGGCCACACUGGGACUGAGACACGGCCCAGACUCCUACGGGAGGCAGCAGUAGGGAAGCUUCGGCAAUGGGGGCAACCCUGACCGAGCAACGCCGCGGGAGUGAAGAAGGUUUUCGGAUCGUAAAGCUCUGUUGUAAGUCAAGAACGGGUGUGAGAGUGGAAAGUUCACACUGUGACGGUAGCUUACCAGAAAGGGACGGCUAACUACGUG